GGAGAGGUGCCUGAGUGGUUGAAAGGGGCGCUCUCGAAAAGCGUUAUACCGGAUUUCCGGUAUCGUGGGUUCGAAUCCCACCCUCUCCGCCA
rnacentral:tRNA from 1 species